rnacentral:rRNA from 1 species
AAUAUUGGACAAUGGUGGCAACCCUGAUCCAGCCAUGCCGCGUGUGUGAAGAGGGUCUUCGGAUUGUAAAGCACUUUAGGUUGGGAGGAAGGGCUUUUGGUUAAUACCCUUAAGUUUUGACGUUACCAACAGAUUAAGCACCGGCUAACUCUUUGCCAGCAGCCGCGGUAAUACAGAGGGUGCAAGAGUUAAUCGGAAUUACUGGGCGUAAAGCGCGCGUAGGUGGUUCAGUAAGAUGGGUGUGAAAUCCCCGGGCUUAACCUGGGAACUGCUUUCAUAACUGCUGAGCUAGAGUACGGUAGAGGGUAGUGGAAUUUCCUGUGUAGCGGUGAAAUGCGUAGAUAUAGGAAGGAACACCAGUGGCGAAGGCGACUACCUGGACUGAUACUGACACUGAGGUGCGAAAGCGUGGGGAGCAAACA